GACAUAGUGCGGAGCGAAACAAGCUAGCCCUCCUUAUAUAAGUAGAUGAGGGACCCACUCUAGUGAUAGGUAGGGAAUACUCNCCGUGUCAUCGCAUNNGAACCCGGGGGAAACACACUGUUGUUGCGCCCCCCCCCNCUCUUCCANUUAUNAAUAGGGGAAACAGUUUUUUUUAUAAUCUGUAUAAACCGGGGNUUNACUNCCUCUCGGGGACGGUUUUCCNAACCUUUUGUGGUGGGGGCCCCACGUGNCUCCNCAAAANGGGAAACAGCGACGGGCCCUCUGUNGGGAAAAAAAAAACGCCCCAGNGGGAUCCCCCGUAUUGAUGNGGUGGGAGACACACUCGGGGGUGGCGNGACACUAAAACACGCGGCUUGNGGGGAACGCCCACCCACAGCGAAUAAAAAAAAUGCCCAAAGCCCCAAAAAUAUUUAAGGGGGNCCCCAAGAAAACACGCGGGGGAUNUAACACCUCGAGGGCAANACCAAAAANACCCCCGGGAUGGGGAGCGCACCAAAGUAGGGGAAGCCCAACACCCAAACAUAGGANGGG
rnacentral:rRNA from 1 species